AGAGUUUGAUCCUGGCUCAGAGUGAACGCUGGCGGCAGGCCUAACACAUGCAAGUCGAACGGCAGCACAGGAGAGCUUGCUCUCUGGGUGGCGAGUGGCGGACGGGUGAGGAAUACAUCGGAAUCUGCCUAUACGUGGGGGAUAACGUAGGGAAACUUACGCUAAUACCGCAUACGUCCUACGGGAGAAAGCGGGGGAUCGCAAGACCUCGCGCGGAUAGAUGAGCCGAUGUCCGAUUAGCUAGUUGGCGGGGUAAAGGCCCACCAAGGCGACGAUCGGUAGCUGGUCUGAGAGGAUGAUCAGCCACACUGGAACUGAGACACGGUCCAGACUCCUACGGGAGGCAGCAGUGGGGAAUAUUGGACAAUGGGCGCAAGCCUGAUCCAGCCAUGCCGCGUGGGUGAAGAAGGCCUUCGGGUUGUAAAGCCCUUUUGUUGGGAAAGAAAACUUUCCGGUCAAUACCCGGAGAGAAUGACGGUACCCAAAGAAUAAGCACCGGCUAACUUCGUGCCAGCCGCCGCGGUAAUAC
rnacentral:rRNA from 1 species